AACUGCCCUAUCGCGACGGUGGGAAAAGGCGGACACCUUUAUCGCCCUGGGCUGGUUCCCGAUCGAAGGG
rnacentral:sRNA from 1 species